rnacentral:lncRNA from 1 species
GGCGUAGCUUUUUCUUACAUAUGAUGAUUUAUUAAAACGGUAGAUUUUCAUUUGAUAAAAAGGAAAUUUCACAGAUAAAACUUUUUAUCAAACUAACUUGGCCAUUAUCACUGUUCAUGAUUCUACUAUAUUGGAUGUGUAUUAUUUUUUUAAAAUAGUAAACAACCAUUAAAACCCUAAACUUUUAAAUUAAAGCAAAAAAAUCUCAAACUCGUGUUUGAGCAAAACAAUUCCUCAGUUUUUAAAUAUCGGUUGUUUGAACUCUCAUCUUUUGUUGACUCGGCCAUUUAAGAAACUCAAAUAGUCAACUGCUAAACUAAAACCGUUAAACUUGACAAGAAAUUGGGACUGAGCUUCCAAAAC